rnacentral:ncRNA from 1 species
CGACCUCAGAGCAGGCGAGAUCACCCGCUGAAUUUAAGCAUAUUAUUAAGCGGAGGAAAAGAAACUAACUAGGA